rnacentral:lncRNA from 1 species
UUGAGGAAGGAUAGUAUAUCAUAACUAAAUGCGGUUUAAUCCAAGGAUGCACGUGUUAACAUUUGAAAAGUCGAUCCAUGUAAUUCACACAGCAACAGAAUAAAGAAAAAAGAUCAUUUGAUCAUCACAAUGGACGUAGAAAAAAUUUAUGAAAUUCAACAGUCAUUCACAGCAAAAACUCUUAGCAUACUAUGAUAAAUUUGAUUGUCUACAACAAAACAAAACAAGACCUGAGAUCAGAAAUGAUGGAUCUUGUACUUACUGGAGGUUUUCACCAGUGCAAUAAGGCAAGGGAGUGGUGAACAUCUGUCAAACCCAGAGGCCACAGUACCAGUUCAUGACUGCACCUGUCAGGUAAGAACUGUCCUUACCUUCAGUCCCUCCUCACUACUCCAGCACUGGAAGGGAACAGAAGUCACAGCUAGCAAACUGAGAGUGGGGUGGGGAGAGGGCAGAAUCAAGAAAGAAGAAAGCAGCCACCCAGCCUCUCCCACCCAUGUUCCUCUCCACUGACUGAAGCCAUGCCAAGCUGAGAGAGGGAGGUGUUUAUAUUAUUUUAAUGAAUUGGAUUUUUUAUUCUUAAACAGGCUGGAAAUUGUAGUUACUAAGAUAGUCUUAUUUUGUAAUAUUCAGUGGCCAUAGGACUUUUCCUUCCCGCAAAUGACCUGAAACCCAGAGAGUGUGCUCUAGAUUUCUAAGGAGUAAGAAUAAACCGUAUUGGGGCAGGUAUACAUGGGGAUAAAGCUGUUUUCUAUUCCACUCAACGACUAACACUCUCAAAAUCCUGGUUUGCAGUCAUUCAUGUUAAUGUGCUCACUGUUAGUCUCCAAAGGAUAAGCGUGUCCCCUGGACCACACUUUUCUACAUUUGUUGAAAAGAAAGCCUUCUUCCGAUGUCUUCCAAGAACUCCACAUUUCGACCUGGAUUGUUCCAAAGCAGGACGAAGGUUCAGCGUGGGAACUUCGAAGUCGAUGGGCCUGAUGACGGUACCACCGCUGCCAAGACCACCGAUGGUUCUGACGACCCUGCAGAAGGAGGCCCAUGGAGAGCCCUCUGCACACUUUUCUGACUUCGUGCCAGCUUCAAUUCCCUGCCUCUCUUAAUGGCCAGCGUUUCUAGGGCCUGCGAUUAUGGUCAGUUAUUCGCAGGUGUCAGGGACCUGGGAGGACUUUAUUGGUCUUAAGCAGGCAGCAGACCCACAUCCCUCCCAGUGUCCUAAAGAAAGCUGUUUAUCCCAGAAGAUCCCGCUCGGAGGGGGGAGACAUUUCUCCCGGCAGGAACACCCAUAAACUUCCCUGCAAUAGACUUCCCUGCAGCUCCCCUCCUCGCCUUACUCACUCACUCACUCACUCACUCACUCAUUCAUUCACCGAGCUAACAAAUACUGAGCAGCCACUCCUUUCCAGGCACUAAGAAAAAACAGUCCUGGAGACACAGCGCUGAAUAAGAUCGGUACCGCCCCAGGCUUUGUGAAGAUCACACUCAACCAACUUUGCUUCAUCUCAUCGUACCCCUACUCACAAGUACCCCUUGAUUAGGAGAGAGAGCACAGUGUUCU